rnacentral:rRNA from 1 species
AACGUAGGUGGCAAGCGUUAUCCGGAUUUACUGGGCGUAAAGCGCGUGCAGGCGGUGUGAUAAGUGGGGUAUGAAAUCUCCGCGCUUAACGUGGAGGGGUUAUGCCAGACUGUCACACUUGAACCCAUCAGAGGGACGUGGAAUUCCGGGUGUAGUGGUGAAAUGCGUAGAGAUCCGGAGGAACACCAGAGGCGAAAGCGGCGUCCUGGGGUGAGGUUGACGCUCAGACACGAAAGCAUGGGGAGCGAACGGG